UACGAACCGAGCGAACGUUGUUCGGAAUCACUGGGCUUAAAGGGCGCGUAGGCGGGUGCUCAAGUCCGGGGUGAAAUCCUCCAGCUCAACUGGAGAACUGCCUCGGAUACUGGGCGUCUCGAGUGUGGUAGGGGUAUGCGGAACUAUCGGUGGAGCGGUGAAAUGCGUAGAUAUCGUAAGGAAGACCAGUGGCGAAGGCGGGUCUCUGGACAGUUCCUGACGCUGAGGCACGAAGGCCAGGGGAGCAAACGGG
rnacentral:rRNA from 1 species